UACAGAGGUCUCAAGCGUUGUUCGGAUUCAUUGGGCGUAAAGGGUGCGUAGGUGGCGCCAUAAGUCAGGUGUGAAAUCUCGGGGCUUAACUCCGAAACUGCAUUUGAUACUGUGGUGCUUGAGGACUGGAGAGGAGACUGGAAUUCACGGUGUAGCAGUGAAAUGCGUAGAUAUCGUGAGGAAGACCAGUGGCGAAGGCGGGUCUCUGGACAGUUCCUGACACUGAGACACGAAGGCCAGGGGAGCAAACGGG
rnacentral:rRNA from 1 species